AGGACGAACGCUGGCGGCGUGCUUAACACAUGCAAGUCGAGCGGUAAGGCCCUUCGGGGUACACGAGCGGCGAACGGGUGAGUAACACGUGGGUAACCUGCCCUGUACUGUGGGAUAAGCCUGGGAAACUGGGUCUAAUACCGCAUAUGACUGCAUCCUGCAUGGGGUGUGGUGGAAAGUUCUGGCGGUACAGGAUGGGCCCGCGGCCUAUCAGCUUGUUGGUGGGGUGAUGGCCUACCAAGGCGACGACGGGUAGCCGGCCUGAGAGGGCGACCGGCCACACUGGGACUGAGACACGGCCCAGACUCCUACGGGAGGCAGCAGUGGGGAAUCUUGCGCAAUGGGCGAAAGCCUGACGCAGCGACGCCGCGUGAGGGAUGACGGCCUUCGGGUUGUAAACCUCUUUCGACCGGGACGAAGCGUGAGUGACGGUACCGGUAGAAGAAGCACCGGCUAACUACGUGCCAGCAGCCGC
rnacentral:rRNA from 1 species